UGGAUGUUGGACUUGAGUUUUGGAGCAUUAUGGCCCAAAAGUAGGAAAAUAAAAAGGUACAAUUUACAUAAAUCUCACAAGACCUAAGUACAUUAUUUUCCUACUCUUUUCUAAAUUACAUCUCUUCUGUGCUUAUCUUUGUUUUCUUUAUUGUAUUACUCUCCUUAUAGUAAAUCGUGGUUGAAAUCUUAAACUAAAUACUUCCCUAUCUUUUAUUUAAUGAAUUCAUAGCUGAAGUCUUAAUGCUAGUACUUUUCAGGAAUUCCCUUUGCCCAGAGAUGCGUGAAGGGUCCAAAGUGGCUUCCAUUUGUUAUAGGGCUUCCUCCACUACUCAUGUUCUCUGCAGCUAGCGCAACAUUUGGGGGGUAAUUCUAUGAAUUUCUUAUUUCAUUCUAAUCUUUAUUCUUUCAAUUUAGCAUGUGUUACGUUAUGAAUUGAUGAUAAAGUUGUCAUGACACUCGACAUAUUAACUUUUUUUUUUUGAUAAGUAACCCUCAGCAA